AAAGGAAUUGACGGGGGCCCGCACAAGCGGUGGAGCAUGUGGCUUAAUUCGAUGCAACGCGAAGAACCUUACCUGGGCUCGAACACUACCGGACAGCUCCUGAAAGGGGGUCUCCUUCGGGCUGGUAGUGAGGUGCUGCAUGGCUGUCGUCAGCUCGUGUCGUGAGAUGUUGGGUUAAGUCCCGCAACGAGCGCAACCCUUAUCUUUAGUUACCAGCACGUGAUGGUGGGGACUCUAAAGAGACUGCCUGCGCAAGCAGUGAGGAAGGUGGGGACGACGUCAAGUCAUCAUGGCCCUUAUGCCCAGGGCUGCACACGUGCUACAAUGGUCGGUACAAUGGGCUGCCACUUCGUGAGAAGGAGCCAAUCCUAAAAGCCGAUCUCAGUUCGGAUUGUAGUCUGCAACUCGACUACAUGAAGCUGGAAUCGCUAGUAAUCGCGCAUCAGCAACGGCGCGGUGAAUACGUUCCCGGGCCUUGUACACACCGCCCGU
rnacentral:rRNA from 1 species